UUGUCUUUCAUGCCAGCUAGAGGGAGACAGGGAGAAGGAGAGAGAGAGCUAGACCCUUGAACAGAGAGAGAGAGAGAAUGUAAAGACUGGCUAAAGCACCACCAGGUGCUGCCUCCUUCAUGGUUCUUCAACAUUGCUAAUGCAUUCUCCACGGAGGCCCAGUGACAUCAGCCCUGCAGUAGCCUCAAAGAGUUCAGCCGGUGUGCUGGAGUGAAGGUCAGGGGAAGUAGGACAUGAAAGCAGCUUCUUCUGUCCCAGCAGAAGUUCUUCUUGUCUGACACAUGGUUGGCAGGCUAGGCUGAUCUCUGCAUCUACACACAGAGAUACUUUUUAACCAGUCAUGGACAUAUUAUAGAAUGGACAGCGGGAUCCAAAAUGGCGCCCAUUCAUUCCUCCAUUCAAGGAGAGAUUUGCUUCUGCAUCAUG